GACGAACGCUGGCGGCGUGCUUAACACAUGCAAGUCGAACGGAAAGGCCCUGCUUUUGUGGGGUGCUCGAGUGGCGAACGGGUGAGUAACACGUGAGUAACCUGCCCUUGACUUUGGGAUAACUUCAGGAAACUGGGGCUAAUACCGGAUAGGAGCUCCUGCUGCAUGGUGGGGGUUGGAAAGUUUCGGCGGUUGGGGAUGGACUCGCGGCUUAUCAGCUUGUUGGUGGGGUAGUGGCUUACCAAGGCUUUGACGGGUAGCCGGCCUGAGAGGGUGACCGGCCACAUUGGGACUGUGAUACGGCUCAGACUCCUACGGGAGGCAGCAGUGGGGAAUAUUGCACAAUGGGCGGAAGCCUGAUGCAGCAACGCCGCGUGCGGGAUGACGGCCUUCGGGUUGUAAACCGCUUUCGCCUGUGACGAAGCGUGAGUGACGGUAAUGGGUAAAGAAGCACCGGCUAACUACGUG
rnacentral:rRNA from 1 species